CCUCCCAAAGCGUAACGGAGGAGCACGAAGGUUAGCUAAUCCUGGUCGGACAUCAGGAGGUUAGUGCAAUGGCAUAAGCUAGCUUGACUGCGAGCGUGACGGCGCGAGCAGGUGCGAAAGCAGGUCAUAGUGAUCCGGUGGUUCUGAAUGGAAGGGCCAUCGCUCAACGGAUAAAAGGUACUCCGGGGAUAACAGGCUGAUACCGCCCAAGAGUUCAUAUCGACGGCGGUGUUUGGCACCUCGAUGUCGGCUCAUCACAUCCUGGGGCUGAAGUAGGUCCCAAGGGUAUGGCUGUUCGCCAUUUAAAGUGGUACGCGAGCUGGGUUUAGAACGUCGUGAGACAGUUCGGUCCCUAUCUGCCGUGGGCGCUGGAGAAUUGAGGGGGCUGCUCCUAGUACGGAGAGGACCGGAGUGGACGCAUCACUGGUGUUCGGGUUGUCAUGCCAAUGGCACUGCCCGGUAGCUAAAUGCGGAAGAGAUAAGUGCUGAAAGCAUCUA
rnacentral:rRNA from 1 species